UACGUAGGUGGCAAGCGUUGUCCGGAUUUACUGGGCGUAAAGAGUGCGCAGGCGGUCGUGCAAGUCGCGUGUGAAAGCCCCCGGCUCAACUGGGGAGGGUCACGCGAUACUGUUCGACUCGAAGGCAGGAGAGGGAAGCGGAAUUCCCGGUGUAGUGGUGAAAUGCGUAGAUAUCGGGAGGAACACCAGUGGCGAAGGCGGCUUCCUGGCCUGUUCUUGACGCUGAGGCGCGAAAGCUAGGGUAGCAAACGGG
rnacentral:rRNA from 1 species